rnacentral:rRNA from 1 species
UACGUAGGGUGCAAGCGUUGUCCGGAAUUACUGGGCGUAAAGGGAGCGUAGGCGGAUAGUUCAGUCAGAGGUGAAAGCCCAGGGCUCAACCUUGGAAUUGCCUUUGAUACUGGCUGUCUUGAGUAUGGGAGAGGUUAGCGGAACUCCGAGUGUAGAGGUGAAGUUCGUAGAUAUUCGGAAGAACACCAGUGGCGAAGGCGGCUAACUGGCCCAUUACUGACGCUGAGGCUCGAAAGCGUGGGGAGC